rnacentral:rRNA from 1 species
CGGAAACGGACGCUAAUACCGCAUACGUCCUACGGGAGAAAGCGGGGGAUCUUCGGACCUCGCGCCAUUAGAUGAGCCUAGGUCGGAUUAGCUAGUUGGUGAGGUAAUGGCUCACCAAGGCGACGAUCCGUAACUGGUCUGANAGGAUGAUCAGUCACACUGGAACUGAGACACGGUCCAGACUCCUACGGGAGGCAGCAGUGGGGAAUAUUGGACAAUGGGCGAAAGCCUGAUCCAGCCAUGCCGCGUGUGUGAAGAAGGUCUUCGGAUUGUAAAGCACUUUAAGUUGGGAGGAAGGGUAGUAACCUAAUACGUUGCUACUUUGACGUUACCGACAGAAUAAGCACCGGCUAACUUCGUG